rnacentral:misc_RNA from 1 species
AAAUAAAAAUCGGGGUUGUUGCUGCCUUCGGUGGUGACGCUUCGGAACUGGGUCGUCUUUGCCUUCGGGUUAAGUGACCUAAAAUUUCGGAUGAUUUUUCGAACGUAUUUAAAUUCUUUUACGUACGUUUGUAUAUCGAAUAUUGGAUGCGGUCAUUCCCAUGAUUCGCGUCUAUAAUUAUUUCAUC